rnacentral:lncRNA from 1 species
GUGGAUGGAGGUCAGUGUAGAGGCUAAGCCAAGGUUCUUGUUCCUCCAGGAAGUGAGCGAGAAUUCCUGCUAUGACCUGACCAGGGUGAAAAUGAUGAGAACCCUGACGUCAUGAGGCUGCUCAGGUAGAAUCCAGUACUGGCAGUCUUCCUGGGUGCAGGCUGUGAGGGGCUGAUGGUGCUACUAGCAGAAUGGUCUUGAGGUGGCUGGAAGCCUUUGGGAGCACCAAAACAGCCCCAGCACCAAAGAGACACUGCCUCCCGCCCAUCUUAAGAGAAAUUCACAUGGCAAGCCCAGUUUCCGCUCCCCCAGGAGAGCCCACCCAGAUCUUCCCCUUCCUUCUCAACCACCCAGAUGAUAAGCACAACGAUCUCCAAGUGGCUUUCCUGAAUAUCUACCACAACCAGACCCUCAAAACCCUCAUGGCCUGGAGUGGGUGGUGCAAUUCUGCCCCAGGACUCACUAUGUGCUUAAGGUGAAUGGAAAUGUCUUCCUAAACCCUGGUUUCCUGGUGUAGCAGAUACUGACGCCUGAGCAGCCAGCCCUGCCAGACUUCAUCACUGGCUCUAUCACAGAAACAGACUCCCCAUUCUAAGGCAGAUCCAUCCUCAGUAUGUGCCCCUGGACAUGCUCUCCAGAGCCAGGUACCCACCUUACUGCUGCAACCCUGGCUAUGUGCUGUCGGGACAACUGACCCUCAAAGUGCUUUCCAUCGCCGGGAAAAUGCCAGCUGUCCACCUGGAGGAAGUCUGUGGGGCUGUGCCUGCGCCAGCGAGAGAUGGAGCCCACCCCAGUCCCCUCAACACCUUUCUGGUCUUUGGCCGAUCAUACAACCCCUGUGACUUCCACAGUUCAUCCUUCAUCCCUUGUCCAUCCCUCUGAGUAUCAGGAGCUUCUUCAAGUCUGGCCCAACUUUCAGAAAAGCACCACCACUCUGGUGGCAGAUUGAACGAAACCCUUCUCUGCUGGACUCUUUUAACUUACUUCCUCCUCCUGCCUUCCAGCAGGCAUCUCUUAUACUGCAAGGGUCUUUAGUUCCAGAAUAAGAUAGAAUACAGCUUUUUACAAAUCUUCAAUUCCAUGGAGGGCAGUUGGUGGGCAAAGAAGAUCAGGUGCCUCAGAACAGGCACUGGACCAGAUCACAGGGUUGGAGACCCCGAAUCUGAGGAGUUAUGAGACUGCCAUCUCAGAAACUAUCCUGUGCCAUCUUCAAGUGAAUUCAGGUCCUUCAAAGUUUGUUGGACUCACACUGAACACCGGAGAACCUCUUCCAGUCUGGUAUUUAAACUGUCCCAGAAAUUCUGUUGUGAUGAAAGCUGAUGCAUACAAGAAUUGUCCAGGAGGCUGGAUGACAGCCAAUAGAAUGGAAUACCUGUAGCAGGAAACUUUGGGGCUUAGUCCCCCACCACAAAUUCUGUAAUAAAAAAAAUUCCUGGAAAAUUUCAGAACCCGUAGGGGGCUCUUGAAUUUGUAGUAUCUGCAAAGGGACCACUUUCUGGUUCAAUGUCACCUCCUAAAUCAAACUUUUAACACCCUAUGUUAACAAUAAUUACCUCACAUCCCCCACAAGAGCUAUCAACUCCCUUUUCUCUAUCCAAAAGAAGCCCUAAUGCUGAUGAAAAGACCAGGACCACAGUGAUAUUCCAGGCACACAACCAGUUGUGAAAUGAUGGGACACUGAGCCUGAGUGAUCCGCUGACCACACAGCAACAAAGAAAUUGGGUCUGGAUAACAUCUUAACUGUGAUGCAAUAAAAUUGAUUUUUAAAAUGA